rnacentral:rRNA from 1 species
UACGUAGGGAGCAAGCGUUGUCCGGAAUCAUUGGGCGUAAAGCGCGCGUAGGUGGCUUGUAAGUCCGUUGUGAAAGUCAAAGGCUCAACCUUUGAAAGCCGAUGGAUACUGCGGAGCUAGAGUACGGAAGAGGCGAGUGGAAUUCCUGGUGUAGCGGUGGAAUGCGCAGAUAUCAGGAGGAACACCAAUAGCGAAGGCAGCUCGCUGGGACGUUACUGACACUGAGGCGCGAAAGCGUGGGGAGCGAACAGG